GAUGAACGCUGGCGGCGUGCCUAAUACAUGCAAGUCGAGCGAACGGACGAGAAGCUUGCUUCUCUGAUGUUAGCGGCGGACGGGUGAGUAACACGUGGAUAACCUACCUAUAAGACUGGGAUAACUUCGGGAAACCGUAGCUAAUACCGGAUAAUAUUUUGAACCGCAUGGUUCAAGAGUGAAAGACGGUCUUGCUGUCACUUAUAGAUGGAUCCGCGCUGCAUUAGCUAGUUGGUAAGGUAACGGCUUACCAAGGCAACGAUGCAUAGCCGACCUGAGAGGGUGAUCGGCCACACUGGAACUGAGACACGGUCCAGACUCCUACGGGAGGCAGCAGUAGGGAAUCUUCCGCAAUGGGCGAAAGCCUGACGGAGCAACGCCGCGUGAGUGAUGAAGGUCUUCGGAUCGUAAAACUCUGUUAUUAGGGAAGAACAUAUGUGUAAGUAACUGUGCACAUCUUGACGGUACCUAAUCAGAAAGCCACGGCUAACUACGUG
rnacentral:rRNA from 1 species